GAUUUCUGGCUUGGUGCGCCUGGCCCGCCACCGUUAGGUGUUGUGAGUGCUGGGUCGUGCCUGCCAUCCUUCUAGAGAACGUCUCUACUCUUCACUGAGCCGGAGGCGCCAUCUAGAUCGUUUACUUUGAAAAAAUUAGAGUGUUUAAAGCAGGCUUUUGCUAUGAAUACAUUAGCAUGGAAUAAUAAUUUAGGACUUCGGUUCUAUUUUGUUGGUUUCUAGGACUGAAGUAAUGAUUGAUAGGGAUAGUUGGGGGUGCUAGUAUUCAGCGGCCAGAGGUGAAAUUCUCGGAUUCGCUGAAGACUAACUUAUGCGAAAGCAUU
rnacentral:rRNA from 1 species